UACGGGGGGAGCAAGCGUUGUUCGGAUUUACUGGGCGUAAAGGGCGCGUAGGCGGCCUCUGCAAGUCGACUGUGAAAUCUCCGGGCUUAACCCGGAAAGGUCAGCCGAUACUGCAGGGCUAGAGUGCAGAAGGGGCAACUGAAUUCUCGGUGUAGCGGUGAAAUGCGUAGAUAUCGAGAGGAACACCUGCGGCGAAGGCGGGUUGCUGGGCUGACACUGACGCUGAAGUGCGAAAGCUAGGGGAGCGAACGGG
rnacentral:rRNA from 1 species